UGGGCACUCUGAAUUGGCCUUAGGCGUGAGUGCGUGCGCGUGUGUGCCUUCAGACUAAAGGCUUCAGCGGAAGGUUGGGCGCCGAGCUGGCAACUCGACACCAGAAAACUCCACUGCCAAUCAUAAGUGGACCGGUGAUCCGCUGUGGCGACCUUUAACCGGGAAAAGCCGAAAAAAGAAGACGAAGAUUAGAGCGUGCGUUAUUACUAGACGUUUACCACUUUACAAAUCGGUUCCGUUGUUACUUGUAUUAAUUAUGUUAUCAGUUCCUCGCAUUGUAUUGCCAAUCCCAUCGUUGUGCAGCUUUCCAGUUGGUCUGACAUGUCCAGAACUGAAGAAGGGUCAUAAACAGAUGGCUGAAGAGAUAAUGCAGUGAAUCCUGUGAAUAUGAAGUCACAAUCUUUAAGGGCUGGAGCUUAUUUAAAAUGAGUUCCAAAAGUGUUUUGAGGUUAGGUUACAAUGACUUCUCACCCUCACCUAUGGAAUGGCUUGCAGGAAUUGCCCAGCUGUUGUCUGAAUGGCAUUGCCAGACGUGUCUGUUGGGUAUCACAUUAAAACCGCCACUGUUACCACCUUUACAACAUCUGAAUUGAGACUUGAACCCCACAGUAACUUCACUGGUCUUGUUAGGACUUUGGUUUCUUGUUGUCAUGGUAUGCACAGCAGUCUGAAGACUAGCAGUGUUAGCGAACAAGAUCGUACAAGUCAACCUGUAGCCAAGAGCAUGAGAUCAUGGAGCCUUCAACAUCAACAACAAUGCCACUGCAUUCUGCAUGCCAUUCAGUGUAAAUGUCAGACUUCCACCCCUGGAAGUAACUGAUGAAGCAUUUCAUUAGUCAAGACCUGGAAUCACUAAGGAGCAACUUUUAGCAGGUACAGAAAGGGGCAAAUCAGCUGAAGGCACAGAAGAAGCCAUCAAACUACUCACGGGAAAAAAGUAUCUGUUGGAAUUCACUUAGCACAAAUGAGGAGCGUCUGCCAUCCAAUGUCCCUGCCAUCAGAACAUCCUAUGAUGCUGAAAUGCACCAUCAGAUUAAGAUCUAACACAUGCAAGCAGGAAUAACCUAACCUGUAUAACUGUACACACAGCACACACAUUUAUCUGUUGUUCUGCACAAUGAGGCAAGUUGUGAAAUCCUGAGAGAAAUGUAGAGUCAGAUGCACAGGACAAGCAGAUAAUGUCAGCAUGCUCUUGGGACUGUGUGCACUAAUGCAACUACCUAUGUUUCAAGGACUCACACCUAAGGAAACGGCAAACAAAUACUGUCACCUUUUCCAAAGAGUGGCUAUACUACACUAUGGCUGCAGAUGGAGAGUAGGCCAGCAUACCAAAACUCAUAGGAAAGAAGACAACAGUAAGAUAGUGAAAUGGGAAGGAGGACAGGAGAACUGGAGAGCAAAUGGUAGGGUGGAUGAACUGGAAAACAGAAAGAGUAUAUGGAUUGCAGCAGAGAUAGGUCUACCAAAUAGAGCCAAGAGCCAGAAAGGACUCAAAUAUGGAGAAAAGUAAAUCUAAGAGAGUGCAGGUAUCAUAGACCAGACUGGAUGUCCUCUAAAAUAUUUAAAAAUCUAUGCAGUUUUGGUGAGUCCACUAACAAAGAAAUUCAGCAGGUUGUUAGUCAGUGAGAAAUUCAUAGAGUAUUUGACAAAGCUCAUGGUAACUCCAGUUUGUAAGAAUGAACCAGAAAAUUGUGGACAAUCAAUCUGACCACAGGAAUGUGUAAUGUGGUGGAUAAAGUUCUGAGGAAGAGACUGCUGGCAUGCCUGAAGUUAAAUAGACUCCAGGAUACUAAUUAUCAUGGCUUAACUUCCAAAAGAUGCUGCUGUUUGAAUGUGUUUCAUAUCUAUGAUUGGAUUACCUUGGAUUGGGAGAGAGAAAAUUGAGCUGCUCUAGGCUUUUUUUAUUUCAGAAAGUUCUUAGAUCUAGUGUCACACAGAAGACUACUGAACAAACCACAAUGGCUCCCUACUGGGGAAAAAUUAAUGAAAUGGAUGGAAAACGUUCGUAAUGGUAGGAUGAUGGAAGUGGUGGGGAUGGGCUCUCCAUUUUUGGAUAAAAUGGUAAUCGAUGAGAUGUUCUCAGUGUGCUUAUCUUAGACAUAAAAGUAGGAAAUGAAAACAGGAAAAAUAGGAGCAGCGGUUAAAAACAGAGAGGUGAGCCUGUCAAGACAUAUGCAAAUGUUAGCAAAAUGGAGAGACAUUGGCAGCUAGGGUUUAAUGGAAGCAAAUGUAAGGUGGAGCAGUUCCAUCACAAUAACCUGUGGGAAGAGAAGAAGCUGAGAAACUGACUAAGAAGUAGUAGUUCUAAAAAUGUCCAUGCUGUUCGGUCACGAAGUGCCCUGAGAACAAGCAGCAGACAGGGUAGCAUAUGCUGAAUUGCAUCAUCAGUGAAUAACACCAACGUUAAAGAUGUUUUAAUAGUCAGUAAGACUGUAGUGGGGCUUCAGCUGACGUAUUGUAUGUAGUUCAAUAGUUCACAGGUAAGAGUAAAUAGCUCUGUUAGAAAGAGUUUGGAAGAAGGCAACAUGGACAAUAAAGAAAAUGAUGGGGAAAAACUGCAUAGAAAGGUUGUGGAAACAAACUGUACACACCAGAAAGUAGAAGAAAUGGAGACAUGGUAAGGAUGUAUAAGAUCAAAAAAUGAUUCUGUGGAGAAACAGAAUUUAGGAGAAAGGACCUGUAUAUGAGGCAGGUUGGGCUUUAUCAACUACACAUUUAAGGAGCUAGUUUCAGUCUUGACAUAAAGAAGUAUUAGUUUACAGAAAAGGUGGUGGAAACAUGGAUUGGGCUACCAGAAAAGAUGAUGGAAAGUAAAACAAUAAAUUAAUUCUGGAGGGUGUGGGAGGUCUGGAAAAACAACAAGGUAAAAGUAUGGCAACAACAAGAGGUGCUACCAAUGCAUAUGGGUAGAAUAGCUGGACAGAUAAUGUCCUUCAGGCUGCACUAAUCUCAUGUGAUGUGAUGUCAUUCAAUAAACAUUGCUUCAAAGUUACUAUUACUCUACAUGUGCAGUAGAACUCCAAUAUAACAUACUUGUAGAACAAAGACUAAAUAUAACAUGUAUGUAGAACAAAGACUCUAAAUAUAAUAUACUUGUAGAACAAAGACUCCAAAUAUAACAUACUUUUAGAACAAAGAUUAAAUAUAACAUACUUGUAGAACAAAGACUUUAAAUAUAACAUACUUGUAGAACAAAGACUCCAAAUAUAACAUACUUGUAGAACAAAGACUCUAAAUAUAACAUACAUGUAGAACAGAGACUCUAAAUAUAACAUACUUUUAGAACAAAGACAGUAUCAUUUUUCCUAAAGAUGCCACCUAGAUCAUUCCACACAGUAUUUUACUUAUGAUGGGGUUUACCACUGUAUUCCAUGUGAUCAAUUGUGAUGGACUAGGAGGUCAUUAUAAUGCCAUGGUUUCCAUCAUAUUUCCAAAAUUCCAUAUAUUUGGAUAACAGUAGAUAUAGUCUGUGGAUGUCCUGUGUUCUGGAAUAUAGAGCUGUUGUAUCCCUUAUUAUAUAUGGCUUCUAAUACCUUCUGCCAGGUCUGAUUCUGUUUCCAUUCUAACUCAUAAUAUUGGAAAAUGAUCCUGCUAUAAUUCAGGAGAGUUGCACCUUUUACCAGUCACAGAUUAUUCUGAUGCUAGUGGCAUGGGAGUACAGUCCACAAAAAAACUUGUUCUACUUGAAACGCCAGAAACUCGAGAUGUUCCUGCACUUGGCAUCUACAAAUGUACUUACACUCAGUCCAGAUUAUUAAGAGACUGCUGCAACUUGUGAUAAAUACUGAAGUCUGAAGCUGAUCUAGAAAUUAGAUUCUCUGAAAACUAAAUCCCUAGCAAGGAAGCCUGAAGGAAUCCAACUUUGACAAACCUUGUGUUGUUGAGUCAUGUUACUCUCCUGACAUCAGAUGCCCACGCAUAGCAUGUAUUUCUCCAUGGGCAGUCCAACCAGCUAUUAACAGAAAAAAAUCUGCUGUUCUGGUCUGAUUCUGCUUAUGAUAUUAGCUCAUGUACAUGUUUUCAGUUAGCAUUGUGAAGUAACAAUUAAUGUGAAUAAAAACAGAGUUAUCAAUAAAAAGAUGUUUCCUGUAUUACAUAAUUCUAACAUUAUAUGGUUAGGGUAAUCCUAUCAUAAUUUGGGUGGAAUUGCAUUUAAGGCUGUUAGUCUAAGGAGUUACGAACACAGCAAGGCUACUCUAAAUUAGGAAAAUGAAUGCCUAAUGCCAUCAGGACUUACUUAGCAAGAUUAUAAUAAGAAAGCAAGAUUAACUCAGAUUUGCUGUGCCACAACAUGUAUUAAAAUGAU